CAUUCUCUCCGGAAUCCUAUCUGACAGGUUUGGCCGGAGACCCAUUUUCUUGAUAGCGGUGUGUGUACUAGCCUUACUCGGAACCUUACUUAUGUUGUCUCCAAAUAUCAUCAUCUACACAUUGAUAUAUACUUGUAUAUGGAUGAUCGAAAUACCCGUAUUUUUGACGCCCUACACAAUAGGAAUGGAAUUUGUAGGCAAAAGUAAAA